rnacentral:antisense_RNA from 1 species
CUUCCGCUUUUUCAGUGAAGUCCAUUGGGACAAUGGAGCAUGCAGGUGAGAAGGGAAGAUACGUGUAAUCUGCACGUCUGCCACCAUUCCUUGUUACUCCUUUUUCGUAUCCCAUGAGCACAGCACUCCAGCGGACCUACCCAAAAUAUAUAGGAGUUCAGUGAAACUCAAACAGCACACUUCUGGUCAGCCUAUACAGUUUCUGUCCUGGUGAGGAGCAUGGUUACCAACAGGCAAGAUCUUCUGGCCUUGAAGUUUCACUUGAGUUAAAAGAGCUCAUCUCAGGACUUUCUGAAUUUUCAGCCCAUAUGACAUGGAAGAAGAGUUAGAAGGGGAAUCUGACUGCUUGGAUCAGGGACUGUCUGGCUGGUGGAACUUGAAUGUAUACAACACUCUUCAUUUGCAUGUUUUGACAUUUUAAAAAAUGUUUUCACUUUCCUUAUCUACUUUGACUCUAAUGACAUCCUAAAAGGUGCUGUUGUCCUCUUUCUGGACCUUAGAGAUGUACAGUGCACCACUUUGAGGAUCAAGUCUGACCCUGCCUUUAAAUUUGGAUUCGAAGUACUUAGAUUUUCUGGAAUCCCAUUCUACAAUCUUCUGGUCGAAAGUAUAAAACCAG